rfam:Myotis davidii contig155839, whole genome shotgun sequence.
AAGACACCCUUCUGGGGCAAGACUUGCUUCAGUGGGGCUUUGGUGCUCACUGAGUCUGCCCCCUGGAGUGUGUCCUU